rnacentral:lncRNA from 1 species
AUAAAGCCAAAGCACUGAGGUGUACUUAAGCACCAGGACCCAGCAACAAAAGCCAAAGGCCUGACAUCAGAAUGAAGAGGAAGGGAGGGAAAGGAUCAGUGGUUUGAUCUCAAAGGAGAAGAUACAAAUAUUCUGGCUGCUGUAGGGCACUACAGCACUUCUCCCCUGUUCGGUAGCUUCCUACUAUCAGCUGCCAAACUGAUCGGUCAUGCCUGGACUGGAGGCACAGAAAUUCUGUGCCAUGGCCCUGGGAAGCACUGAGCAUCCCCUGCCCUAUGGAGGGAGCAGAGGAGAUGGAGAAAACCAGAGAGAGAGAAUCUGUUGGCAGCAUCCUGGAUAGACUUGUUUCUUGUUAUUGUAGCAUCCAGUACAUUCUGAAUGAGUGAAUCUGAAGCUCCAAGCCAUCUAAUGGCCAUUUCACCCUUAAUUUCAAGGUG